rnacentral:lncRNA from 1 species
AACUUCUGUUUUAUAAUUUGCUGUCUGGUGAAGACUAAUGCAAAAAGCUCGGUUGUUGUUCUGGGAAAGAUUGCUCUGCUGAUGCUAUUGUCCACUCAGCUGGAGUGAGGCCAAUCUCUCAUCACUUCAGCUCUCCUUGAUUGCUUCCUGCCCAAGCUCUGACACAGAAGUUUGCACAGGAAUUUGAAAAGUGAUUAUGAAAUCCCACAGAUCUUCACAAAGAGAAACUUGGCCUUCAUUUUUACUCAGAAAACAGUUACGGUAAAGAUUAUUUUAACAGAAGAGAGGAAAACCCUUGGACUCAGUGCAGCGAAUUGUCCAGUUUAGGAGACACAACUGAGAGCCCUCCUUCAUAUGCUGUUAAGUCCCACAGCCCUUUCGUAAGCAGUGUUGAGAACAACUGCUGCGUUGGAGAAAGCAUGCUUUUCUCUGCCCACCCUGCCAGAUAUUCUGUUUCACAAACAGCAUUUCAGUUGGUAUUGAUCAUUUCUCUGCCUCCUGGAGUCACCAAUGAAGAACACUGUGAG